AUGUCAAAUGUGGUGUUUUUUUUCUGUGGUCUUACACAUGCGAGAUGUACCAAAUUCAAGAUUUUUUUCCACGCUAAAUACUCUGAGUUGAUUGUAGUAAGUAAUUUCAGGUAUGAAUGUGAUCAAGACAAGUGUAACCAAACAAUUAGUUCGUCUUCAUCGAGAAAUGGAACAUCUAUCAUAUCUAUUUCAGUAGUGGUUUCUGCACUGGUAAUGGUUGUACUUGUCAUUUCAUAUUUGGUAUGGAGGCAGAAAAUUGCGCCACCAGUUUCUACUCGUAAUCCUGCUAGAGAGGCAGAACUUGUGAGUGCUCCAGUUAGUAGGAAAGGUUGCAGGGAGCACCUUCAAAAUAAUGAGAAUCGCUGAUUCACAUACAAGGAGUUGGAGAAGUUUACAAAUAAGUUCGAAAGGUUCAUUCAACAAGAAGGUUUUGGGCUUGUAUACUAUGGUCGUUCAGAAGACAAUACGGAGGUUGUUGUCAAGAUGUGUUCCGAGUCCUCUUCACAUGGACUCGACGAGUUCUUAGCUGAGAAAGAUCGUUUGGCACUGGUUUAUGAGUACAUGUCUCAAGGCAUUCUUUAUGAUCAUCUGAGAGGUUUGUCCAUUGCAAACAAGGGUUGUAGCCUGCCAAUAAGUCAUCGAGAUGUGAAGACAAGAAAUGUCCUCUUGGGUCAAAAUCUGCAAGCGAAAAUAGCUGAUUUUGGACUUUGCAAAACCUAUUUCAGUGACACACAGCCUUGGCUAUCAACCAUUGCAGUUGGGACCACAGGUUACAUCAACCCAGAGUACUCUAGGGCAUAUUUCCUUCACGGUGUAGUUCUAGUGGAGAUAGCCACCGGCGAGGGUCCAAUACUGCUGAGCCAUGGCCACAUUAUUCAUCGUGUGAAACAAAAGAUUGCAUCUGGUAACAUCAGCUCAAUCGCCGAUGCCCGUCUCAAUGAUGCCUAUGAUGUGAGUUCCAUGUGGAAAGUGAUUGACACCACGAUGGCGUCAACAAUGGCCGCUGUGGUUGUGCAAUUGAGGGAGAGCCUGGCAUUGGAGGAAGCUCGUGAGGGCAGUGGUGUCAAUGGGAGCACCACGACAAAUGCUGCUGGAGUGUCUACAUUCGGUCCAUCAGCAAGAUGA
rnacentral:rRNA from 1 species